UGGCGGCGUGCUUAACACAUGCAAGUCGAACGAAGCACCUGGAUUUGAUUCUUCGGAUGAAGAUCCUUGUGACUGAGUGGCGGACGGGUGAGUAACGCGUGGGUAACCUGCCUCAUACAGGGGGAUAACAGUUAGAAAUGACUGCUAAUACCGCAUAAGACCACAGGGUCGCAUGACCUGGUGGGAAAAACUCCGGUGGUAUGAGAUGGACCCGCGUCUGAUUAGGUAGUUGGUGGGGUAACGGCCUACCAAGCCGACGAUCAGUAGCCGACCUGAGAGGGUGACCGGCCACAUUGGGACUGAGACACGGCCCAAACUCCUACGGGAGGCAGCAGUGGGGAAUAUUGCACAAUGGGGGAAACCCUGAUGCAGCGACGCCGCGUGAGCGAAGAAGUAUUUCGGUAUGUAAAGCUCUAUCAGCAGGGAAGAAAAUGACGGUACCUGACUAAGAAGCACCGGCUAAAUACGUGCCAGCAGCCGCGGUAAUACGUAUGGUGCAAGCGUUAUCCGGAUUUACUGGGUGUAAAGGGAGCGUACACGGCUGUGUAAGUCCGAAGUGAAAGCCCGGGGCUCAACCCCGGGACCUGCUUGGAAACUAUGCAGCUAGAGUGUCGCAGAGGUAAGUGGAAUUCCCAGUGUACCGGCGAAAUGCUUACAUAUUGGGAGGAACACCAGUGCCGAAGGCGGCUUACCUGGACGAUGACUGACGUUGAGGCUCGAAAGCGUGGGGAGCAAACAGGAGUAGAUACCCUGGUAGUCCACGCCGUAAACGAUGACUACUAGGUGUCGGGGAGCAAAGCUCUUCGGUGCCGCAGCAAACGCAAUAAGUAGUCCACCUGGGGAGUACGUUCGCAAGAAUGAAACUCAAAGGAAUUGACGGGGACCCGCACAAGCGGUGGAGCAUGUGGUUUAAUUCGAAGCAACGCGAAGAACCUUACCUGCUCUUGACAUCCCGGUGACCGGCAUGUAAUGAUGCCUUUUCUUCGGAACACCGGUGACAGGUGGUGCAUGGUUGUCGUCAGCUCGUGUCGUGAGAUGUUGGGUUAAGUCCCGCAACGAGCGCAACCCUUAUCUUCAGUAGCCAGCAUUUGAGGUGGGCACUCUGGAGAGACUGCCAGGGAUAACCUGGAGGAAGGUGGGGAUGACGUCAAAUCAUCAUGCCCCUUAUGAGCAGGGCUACACACGUGCUACAAUGGCGUAAACAAAGGGAAGCAAACCUGUGAGGGUAAGCAAAUCUCAAAAAUAACGUCUCAGUUCGGAUUGUAGUCUGCAACUCGACUACAUGAAGCUGGAAUCGCUAGUAAUCGCGAAUCAGCAUGUCGCGGUGAAUACGUUCCCGGGUNCAUGUACACACGGCCCGUCA
rnacentral:rRNA from 1 species